rnacentral:lncRNA from 1 species
CAUCUCCCACUCUACAGGCCUCUCCCCCGCGCGCUGGGGCCUCCCGUUCCCGCGUGUGAGCGAACCUCUUAGGAGGUUUGCUUUCCUUCUGGGCGAGGCUGAGCGACGUUGCCAAGACCAACACGAACUUCUCUGGACAGCAGACCAGGGUGCGAACAGCAGCCCUGCCGCUUCCUAGCCUGUGACAUUCGCCAGAGUUCCGUAGUCCCUCAGCCUCAUCGCCCCAUCCAUAAAAUGGGAAAGCGAACCGUAAAAAGAAUGUGACCAAGCACGGGAAUCCUAUGGAGAAGGCGUGACUCUGAUGCUGUGUCACAGCUGAGGAAACAGGCUCAGAGGUCGGGAACAGCUGGACAGGGCGGAGGGGCCUCGCUCCUCGGACUCUGGUCCCCUGCUGCUGGCGGGAGCCCUCCCUGCAGCGCGCCUGUUGGAUGCCUCUGGGGAUGAGGAGCCUGCUACCUGUCCAGCCCGUCUGUUGCUAGGCAUCCUGAAUAGCUGAAAAGAGCAAAGCUGCCGUUUUUACAUUUGCUUCCUGAUCUUGGACUUGGACUCCAGGCAGACGUGAUUUGGGUAGAGCUUUGAGAGAAGAAAGACUAUAAAUUCCCCCAAAGGAAGGCUUCAGGAGCAGUCUACAACUGGGUGGUCAGGAGACAGAAGGCUUCGCUCUCACCUGUCAAGGCCUGGCCUAAGCCCCCACCCACAGAAUCCCCCCGGGGGAAAGAGCCGGGGCUGCGCGGGCAUUCCACCGCAGCCUUGUUUGGGAUUGGGCUGAACUCAGAGCACCAGGCAUUGUGUCUAUAAUCACCAGCUAAUUGGGGUAUGUUCCCUUGGGGGUGGUGUGUGAGGAGCACGGGCCAGGGAACACCUUGACAAACUAUUUGCAGGAAAUCUGGACUGCACACUGAAGGGAGAAAUGGGCCCCAGGAUGCCUGGCUUGGCUUGGCUUUGUUCGGUUUGCUCUCUUUCCAGAAAACAAGUAUCCUGCUUGAGUAGCUCCAGAGCCUCGUCCUUCCCAGGCUAAAGUACACACUCCUUACGGUGGCCUUCAAGGCCUUUCACAAUUGGGUCCCAACUCACCCUUUUGGCCUCUUUCCCCACCAUAUUCCUAACCCCAUUCCCUGACAGAGAAUUCCACACAGUCGCCUGCAUGCUCCAAGAUUGUUCCUGCCUCCGGGCCUUUGCGCAUGCUAUGCCCUCUGCCCUUUGGCAUGCUAACGGAUAUGACAUCUAGAUGACAACAGUCCUGUUUUAAAAUGUGUUGGACUUCCUCUUCGGCUCCCAAGACUUUUCCAAACAGUCCCUGCAAAGAGAGCAUCUUCGCUGCCCCUUUGGAACUGCAGCCAAGCACACAAUUAAACAAGUCAGGGAACGUCCAGUGGAGACACUGAGAGUUAGGGCAUUGAGUGGGUCCCCAAAGCAUUGUGGGAAAACCAGAACCUCCUAAGGCUGAAUAUCAAUGUGGUUUGGAAAAUCUUGCAUUACUACAAAACUAAUUUAAGGAUGACCCAAGAACGUGCUCCCGACUUUGAACCAUUUGUUUGCCGUGUUGAUCUUAUACUAGAUGCCAGGAACAGGACUGAAAGGCAUUGUUAGAGAGACCUCCGCAGCUUGUUCAGAAAGUCAGCGGGGUGGGGAGGCCUCACCUGGGGCAUUUGAACGGGCCGUUUCCAUCACAGGUUUCAAUGUGCAUGGAAUGAGAUUCAGAGCCCCAUUUUUCACAACGACAAAAUGUUAGCAUGAAGCAGGGUAACCACAUGAUCUUGUUUGCCCAGGAAGUUCUGGUUUCCACCCAAUGUCCUGACAUAUUUAUCAGUAGUUCCCCUUUCAUUAUCGAGUGCCCCAGUGUGGAAGAUAAAUUAUAUGUCACUCUAGCACCAGAUAACCAAACAAGAGCCUGUCUAGGGGGUUGUCUUUGUAAGAUGUUGCCACCUGUUGACACCAGUCCACUUUUCCAGAUCUAGCCUUUGUCCACUCCUCUGUGACAGAAUUAAUGUUUCGACCCAUGUGCUGCCACAGGUACUUAACCUUCAUUCACACUCC